UACGAGGCCGUCCGCGGCUGGACUAUUUUAUUACCCUUGUCUUUUGCGCACUUGUUGUUUCCUGGGCGGGUUCGCUCGCCACCAGGACCACCAAAUAAACCUUUUUAAUGCAGUUGCAAUCAGCGUCAGUACAACAAAUGUUAAUCAUUUACAACUUUCAACAACGGAUCUCUUGGUUCUGGCAUCGAUGAAGAACGCAGCGAAAUGCGAUACGUAGUGUGAAUUGCAGAAUUCAGUGAAUCAUCGAAUCUUUGAACGCACAUUGCGCCCUUUGGUAUUCCAAAGGGCAUGCCUGUUCGAGCGUCAUUUGUACCCUCAAGCUUUGCUUGGUGUUGGGCGUUUUUUUUUGUCUUUGGCUCGCCCAAAGACUCGCCUUAAAACGAUUGGCAGCCGGCCUACUGGUUUCGCAGCGCAGCACAUUUUUGCGCUUGCAAUCAGCAAAAGAGGACGGCAAUCCAUCAAGAACUCCUUCUCACGUUUGACCUCGGAUCAGGUAGGGAUACCCGCUGAACUUAAGCAUAUCAAUAAGCCGGAGGACCUCUAAAGACGUGUACAAUCAUGAGGAAUGGGGGUGGGCCUAAAACCCACGUCAGCCGCUGUCCCUCCUGCAGACAGGUAAAGAGGGACUUCACCUCAAGGCAUGUCCUGGGACCCUGUGCCCUGAAAAUCUCC
rnacentral:rRNA from 1 species